GGGGAAUUUUCCGCAAUGGGCGAAAGCCUGACGGAGCAAUACCGCGUGCGGGACGAAGGCUUUUGGGUCGUAAACCGCUUUUGUUAGGGAAGAAUACAAUGACGGUACCUAACGAAUCAGCAUCGGCUAACUCCGUGCCAGCAGCCGCGGUAAUACGGGGGAUGCAAGCGUUAUCCGGAAUUAUUGGGCGUAAAGCGUCCGCAGGUGGUUUAUCAAGUCUGCUGUCAAAUCGUAGGGCUUAACCCUAUAAAGGCAGUGGAAACUGAGAGACUAGAGUACGGUAGGGGUAGCGGGAAUUCCCAGUGUAGCGGUGAAAUGCGUAGAUAUUGGGAAGAACACCAGCGGCGAAGGCGCGCUACUGGGCCGAAACUGACACUCAUGGACGAAAGCUAGGGGAGCGAAAGGGAUUAGAUACCCCUGUAGUCCUAGCUGUAAACGAUGACAACUAGGUGUUGCGCGUAUCGACCCGUGCAGUGCCGUAGCUAACGCGUUAAGUUGUC
rnacentral:rRNA from 1 species